UUGUACGCGAGGAAUACGUGGACGCGUGAGAGGCCUGCUUCAACAGUGCGCAAAGUGCGUGGCAACGUGCGUGCGUGCGUUUCGUGUGAUUUCGCGACGGCCCCAAAGGUCGAAGAAUAAUGCGCAACCAAUUGCCAAUAGCGGGUGGUAUCCGAAUCAAAAUCGAGUGCUACACACCGCGCUGCGCAGACUCGCACAGAGGCUGCUCGAAUCACGCAAUUUGAUAGUGUUUCGGGGUAACCGGAAACGAACAGAGGAGCUUGUUUUUCCAUAAUUAUAUGCAGGAUCAAACUACUUUGCGUUCCGAACGAGACAUAAAAAUUCAGGAUAUUAAUUUGAACGUUUCCGAACAAGAAUAUCGGGGAGAAAAAUUAUUAUCCAAUUUUCAAAUUGGAGUAAAAAAAUCAGGAACGAGUCCACGUUUAAGAAAAAACAUUUUUUUACGAAAAAAAUCAUCACUCUGGAAAUGGUUUAACCAGCUUCCCCGGGCGCUGAUUAUUUCUAAUUCCUAGGGGUCGUUCUGACCCUCGGUGAGCACGGAGGGUCAAUUGCUCGAGAUGUCAACAUGAAAAUUCGAAAAUCAGUGACCAAAAGUCUUUCUCCGUUCCAACAACCUUUUGGCGUUAAUUUUCAACUGGAAGAAUAACCGUUGCCCUUUUGAGGUACCCUCGCGAUGAAUAAACUCAUCGCGCAUUUUGAAAGGGUUGCCGGAGCAUACUUUACAAUAUAAACAUUUGACGUGAG